UGCUGGUUACCCGUUAUUGAUGUCCAGGACUCCUUGCCAAACCAGCCCUAGCAUGGCGUAAUGGUGUUGGUGGUGGGAGAUUAAUGGAACCCCAUGGAACCAAAGACAAUCUGUUUAUAUUUUUAAUUGCCCGGAGCUAAAGGCUGCACAAGCCAGCAGGUGGUGGAGUGGAAGCAUGGGUCUCUGAAAAUAAGUAUGAGAACUAGUAUGUGUGUGUGUGAGUGUAUGUGUGUUAAGAACCCUUUAGCCCGCUAUGGGGCCCAUGCAAUAAGACAAGCUACUUAUAAAAACUGUUUUAACGAGGGGAGGUUCAUGGUUCACCCUGAAAUACAAUUUUCUGAACAGAUAAAUUAUAGCACUUACCUGGUGAUAAACUAUUGUUUUGACCUGAACUUCAUACUACAUGAGUAACAACAAAUAAAGUUUUUUUGAAUUUGAAUUUGAAGUAAUUGCUUUCCAGAAGACUCAUCUCAAUACUUUCUAUUUAUUUAUUUAUUGAUAUAUUUUCCCUACACUUCUUCUCAAUUGACACUAUUACUUUUUUUAUUUAUUGUUUCAUAGUUAUCAGGUUCUUUCCAAAUAUCCAUCGAUUUUACUUAAUGUAUAAAUGCAUUUCAGUCCUAUUUCUUCUGGCAAAAAACAUUUCUAGGUAGCCGAUUCCAAAUUGAUCAUCCCAUGAAUAAUAAUGUAAACAGCAGAACCAGAUGGGCCUCGCCUUCACUUACAGCUAUGGACAACUUCACACAAACACUAUCCACUAAGAUUUGGCAUCUGUACUUUAAAUGACCAGGGUGAACUCUGACAAAACAACCUUUUACGAGGAUUGGCUCCAACCACACCAUUUAUAUUAUUCCACUCAUCUGGAUUAAUCUCGAUUUCCUUUCCUCCCUUCCUACCUUCCUCCUCACACACAGUUCACCGUGGUGAACAUCAAAGUCAGACAUGGGCUUCCCUUCGCCAGAAGCACUUUGGAGACUUUGGAGAUCAGAGAUCAAUGUAUCAUAUGCCUGAAGCACAGGAUGUGAUCAACAGAGCAGAACCGAUGUCAUUCACAGAGCUGCCUGCAAAAGCACUGCACCUGUCUUGGACCGGGCAAUGGAAAAAAGAAGCUCACCCUCGUAAUGGAAACACACCCAUCGCAUCAUUAUCCUAGUUGGUGAAAGAGGGAGCGACAGAGAGAGGAGAGAGAGAAAGAGAGUGUGAGAGAGAGAGAGAGAGAGAGAGAGAGAGAGAGAGAGAGAGAGAGAGGAGAGAGAAAAAGACAGAGAGGGAAGGAAAAGAAUGAUGUAAGAGAGAAGAGGAUGGGCAGAAUAUGGCAAACAAGAUAUUUAUGCCGACAGCAAAGGGGAACACAUUACGAACACGUUACACAAAAGUUGAAAAAGAGAAAGAGGGUGGUUGCAAAGAAAAAAAUGAGGUUUCGGAAUGAGACAGGUAGACAUAGCAGGAUGAGGGGCGUGUUUUAGGCGCUGGAGAAAUAGGAUACGAGUUUAGGUUUUGGGUGAAGCUGGAACUCCGGAACCGCCAUAACAUCUCUCUUGGCGUGCGCCAAGUGUUCCUGUGUUCAACCUCUCCUGGCCCGAUGUUUAAAGCAGAGACAGUUCCUCCCGAGGGGACGCAAAGAAAACAGAAAAAUGGCCGCCACACCCUGUCAAGCUUGUCGCCAGAGGUGAGACGUCAAACGUGGUGACAGGGCCCACCUGGAUGCGGGGAGGAACCUUCUGCAGACUCUGGUGCUGCACGGUCAGCAGCGGCCCUGACCGUUAAAGCCUCUUCCCUCUUCCUGCCGAUCCAUCCAUCCAGGAGGCUUCAGAUUGGAUGAGGCAUGACAGAUAUUCGAGGCCGAACAUUACAUUAGAACAUGUGUAGACCUACUGGUUCUGGUGGAAAUUAAGACCCAACAAUCAUUUUAGAAGGGAGCGCGGUCUCCGGUUGGGUGCUGCCUGCGUGUCUGUUUCCUUCACCAUUUAUGUUGGCAGCGAGGGACGUCGGCUCCACUGAGCUCUCUCCAAAACAGGAAGGGAACCCUGGUCUGAGAUACAGGACGCAGGAGACUGGAAAACAAACGAGAUGGGGAUGUGCAGACACGAGAGGACAACUGGGGAUACACAUUGAACGCCCGAUCUGCUCCAGACCAGGCCAUGGAGUUUGUGUGUGUGUGUGUGUACAUACUGUGAAUGUGUGUGUCUGCUGUGAAUGUGUUUUUAUUGUGUGUGUGUCUGUGUGUGUGUGUGUGUUUAUAUUGUGAAAGUGUGUGUCGACUGUGGAUGUGUUUGUAUUUGGUGUGUCUGUGUAUGAGACAGAGGGAGAAACUCUAUGUGUUUUGGGUUUAUGAUGGGUGUAUGCGGAUGUCAAGUCAAUGGUUACUAGAAUUGGAUCUACUUUAUUAAUCGUAGAUGAGAAAUGAUAGCAUCCCAGCUGAAAGUGACACUGCUAGCAUGACUGGCAAGUGCCCUUUUUCCUCUCAAGGCGAAAUACUAUUUGCGACAUACCAUACCAGCAACAACACACAAAGGCCAAUAUGCCAUACACAUAAAAUAAAAGUCUAGUGCCGUCAUCAUCAUCAACAUUAUAGUAUGCAUGACCCAAUAUGUGGACAUUUUGC
ensembl:lncRNA